CGUGAGUAACCUGCCCUGGAGUGGGGAAUAACAGCUGGAAACAGCUGCUAAUACCGCAUAAUGCAGUUGGGCCGCAUGGCUCUGACUGCCAAAGAUUUAUCGCUCUGGGAUGGACUCGCGUCUGAUUAGCUAGUUGGUGGGGCAACGGCCCACCAAGGCGACGAUCAGUGGCCGGACUGAGAGGUUGGCCGGCCACAUUGGGACUGAGACACGGCCCAGACUCCUACGGGAGGCAGCAG
rnacentral:rRNA from 1 species